CCUAAAGUGAAACAAGUGCGCGUCGUGAUUAGUAUUUAGAAGGUGGCCAUUGUAGAACAAUAAAGUCAGUGUUGUUAGAAGCAUGCAGUGAAAGAAAUUGUUAAAAGCUAUUGUUAAAAGAUAAUGAAUGCAUGCAGUGUUAAAAGGACAAUUAUUAGUAGCUGUUAGUAUAAAGAGUGUUUUUUUGUAUUAGUACGAUAGCACGAAAAGUUAGUUGAAGAACAACGAAGCAUUGUUAAUAAGCUUAAAUCUACAAGGAAAAGGUCCACAAAGCGGGCCUUUUUCUGUUUCUUCAACCUUUUUAU
rnacentral:lncRNA from 1 species